UACGAAGGGGGCUAGCGUUGUUCGGAAUUACUGGGCGUAAAGCGCACGUAGGCGGGUUGUUAAGUCAGGGGUGAAAUCCCGAGGCUCAACCUCGGAACUGCCUUUGAUACUGAAGAUCUUGAGUUCGGGAGAGGUGAGUGGAACUGCGAGUGUAGAGGUGAAAUUCGUAGAUAUUCGCAAGAACACCAGUGGCGAAGGCGGCUCACUGGCCCGAUACUGACGCUGAGGCACGAAAGCGUGGGGAGCAAACAGGG
rnacentral:rRNA from 1 species